rnacentral:tRNA from 1 species
GUUUUUAUAGUUGAAGUACAACGAUGGUUUUUCAUACCAGGGGUCUUGGUUUAAGUCCAUGUAAGAACU